CACAGUUAAUCUGCACUGAGCCCACCAUGUCUGCUUUAUCAUUGGAUUUUAUUUAAAUUCACUAUUAUAUAAAGUCUGUGAAGGGUCUAAUGGGGGCACUAUUGAAUCACAAAAUGUUUUAUUGAGUAACCUUUCAGGUAACAGUAAGAUACAGUAUUUGGUGAUUUGUAACUAGAAUAACAGCAGCCGUGCAAGUCUCCGCUAGAUGUGAGUUUAUCAAACAAUCCUGUGUAAAGUUGCAGAGUGUUAUGUGUAUUACAGAUCUGCACUGCAAUACAAUGCAUUGUUAUAUGCAGAGUGUGAUAGGAUCACAGAGCUCCACAGCAUUAAAACUCACAAUGACAUGCAGUGUGUAUGCGUUUAUCACAAAGAGCUACAGUAAUAAAACGCUCAGAAAUAUGCAGUGUGUACGCGUUUAUCACAGAGCUUCUCAGUAAUAAAACUCUCAGUAAUAUGCAGUGCGUAUGAGUGUAUCACAGAGUUCUCAGUAAUAUGCAGGGGUAUGAUUGUAUCACAGAGCUCCACAGGAAUAGAACAGAGGAGCAUUUUCCCAGUACCCCUGUAUCGUACGGAUCUUAUUUUGUAUCAAACAAUAUGUGCACCAGCAUUUUCCCAG